rnacentral:rRNA from 1 species
UGAACGCUGGCGGCGUGCCUAAUACAUGCACGUCGAGCGAACAGACGAGGAGCUUGCUCCUCUGACGUUAGCGGCGGACGGGUGAGUAACACGUGGAUAACCUACCUAUAAGACUGGGAUAACUUCGGGAAACCGGAGCUAAUACCGGAUAAUAUAUUGACCCGCAUGGUUCAAUAGUGAAAGACGGUUUUGCUGUCACUUAUAGAUGGAUCCGCGCCGCAUUAGCUAGUUGGUAAGAUAACGGCUUACCAAGGCAACGAUGCGUAGCCGACCUGAGAGGGUGAUCGGCCACACUGGAACUGAGACACGGUCCAGACUCCUACGGGAGGCAGCAGUAGGGAAUCUUCCGCAAUGGGCGAAAGCUUGACGGAGCAACGCCGCGUGAGUGAUGAAGGUCUUCGGAUCGUAAAACUCUGUUAUUAGGGAAGAACAAAUGUGUAAGUAACUAUGCACGUCUUGACGGUACCUAAUCAGAAAGCCACGGCUAACUACGUG